CUCCUUCCUUCCCCACGGACUCUGGUAGUCACCGUCCUACACAGUCAAGUGUACAGAGUAUUAGAGGUUUGCCAAGAACACAUCCUUGUGUCUGCCAAGGAGUGUCUGUUGGAGGAAGAAGGUCCCAGCAGAGAACGGUCAGAGGUGAAAUGGACUGCCUCGGGAGGCAGUAAGCUCCUUGUCUCUAAGCAAAGGAGGCCAGCUGAGAUGGAACGGAAAACAGCAUCCGCUGCUUGGCGAUGAACAUGAGCUCCUAGCCCUGCCUGUGGCAGCCCACCCCCCAGGAGAGAGGAUGUGGAAAUUGGCCUCCGCACCACCUGGUUCAACUCCAGCCACUGUUACUUACCAGCUGAGAUCUCAGGCAAGUUCCUUAACUCUUGCCGGGUCUCAGUUUUCUCACCUGUGAAGUGGGAAUAAUGACGGCUCAAAGAGAGGUGUGGUCUUCAGGAUUUAAUGAGACACCUGGAGAAAGCGCUCAGCAUGGUGUCCAGGUGGGCUCAGUGAGAUGACCAGUUUCAGUUAUUACUGUCCCCGCCUUGGCGCACACCACAGGGCCUCUGCGCAGUCCCUUGUGGUUUGUUUGGCGGUCUUCAGUGGACAAUUACAGCGCAUCUGAUGGGCCAGCCACCCCUGCCUCUUUGGGUUUUUCUGAUCUCCCCCAACAUGUUGCCAGUUCUGGAAUCUCACUCGGGCUCAUUCCUCCUCUAGAAAUGCUCCUUGUGAGAGCUGCCUGGCCAAGACCUCAUCCUUCUCGGGGUGCAGCUCAGAUCCGCCCUCCUUCGUUACAGCUAGCGGUCUACCCAGGAAGGAAUUCACCGCUCCCUCCCCUGCUCCCAUGGCUCAGGAUUUCAAGGAGCCUCUGUUAGAGAGAGGCAGCAUCCUGCAGUGCCUGACAGCUCAGCUCUGGGGGCCAGUUCAACGCAUGCCUUGAGCUGUGUGACGUUGGCUUUUCUGUGCCUCAGUUUCCUGUAUGUCCAAUGGAGAGAAUACAAAUAUACUUUCUUCAUAGGAUUGUUGUGAGAAGAAACGAGUUUCUACUUGUAAAGCACUGACAAUACCACUUGGUACCUACGAAGGGCUCACUAACGGUUGGCUAUUUCCAUAAAAUAAUCUUCAAAAACACAAGUUUUAACAGCUCUGUAGUCUUCUAUUGUGUGAAUAGAUCAGAAUUUAUUUAACCAACCCCUUGCGGCUGGGCGUUUAGGCUGCGUCCAAUCUCACUGUUAUAAAUAAUGCUGUAGUGAACAUCUUGUACAUAAAUCUCUCCGUUGAUCUCUGAUUGCUUCCUUAGAACUCCGCAAAUCUUGCUUGUGUUAGAACCAACUCCUGUCCCCCAGACUUUUCAAUGAUGCCCUUUGAAAUAAAAGCAAAGCCUAUUUUCCAUCAGAGAAGGAAACAUAUGGAACAUGUUAACCAAGAGGUGGCUCAGGAGGAAGGUAGAAAUCGGUUCAAGAUGGGUUUGGAUCCGUUUCAGGAUGUCUGACACAGAGUCAGUUAUAAAGCUCCCCUCGAGCCCCCUUCCCAGAGGAGAGGCUGAGUCUUGAUCCUCAGGGACCACUGAUUUCUCUCUUUGAGGCAAUUCCAAGGGACUUUGAUGUUCUUGGCAUUGGAGAAGCAACAAUGACAGAUGGAUUAAUGAAGCCACAGUAUGUGGACCCUACAGGACUCCUCCAGCCAGUAGGGGGCGAUAUCGCCUGUCUCUGUCCAGUUGGGACUUGGCGGAGUCCUUGCUCACAAGGACUUCCUUUGUCUUAAAACUUUGGCUUCCAUUUUAUGAAUUUCUCCUGUCUGUUGUUCUUCCCUCCCCCCUUUACACUUUUCAGGUACACUUUGGGUUGCCAUUUAUUCGUCCAUCAUUCAGAAGUCUAUUGCAUGCUUCCCCCCAGCCAGACAUCAAGAUAACUUCCAGACUUUCUAAGACCUAGAUACACUUGCUUUGGAAGCCCCACCUCAGACAUAUUAAACAUACUGAAAUUCACCCAUAUUCCAUAUUAAGUAUAUACUUUUCUGUUAAAAAAAAAAGGAUUAUCUUUAUAAUUUUGCUUUUGAAAUUAUUUGGCUACAAGUAAUUCAUUCAAUUUAGGGUUGGUUUUGAUUUCUCAGCAAUUAUUGAGGUACUCAGGAAUUCUUGCAAAGUGAGAACAUCUAACCUGCACAUUGCUCUCAAAUAUAAUGAAAUUUUUAUGAAUUUUUAUGAAUACUUAGUGAAACUAUUAAUGAGGUUGAUGUAAUAUUUGUUUUGUAGAUGUUUCAUUAAAAUUUUAUUAAUUUCUAUUGCAAAGUUUUUCCUUCGUGUUUUGGAUCCAAUAACUUUUGGGGCCUCAGACUUUUUCAGGGAUCUUCGACAAGUUCUCAGGUGCUCUAGUGCCUAGGGGCUAACAGCCAUCUCGGGCUUGGAGAUGGAGAGAUGAAAGGCUCCGCACAGUUUUCACGGAGUUCCCGGGCCAUCGAGGGAUGCACGGACAAACUACUGUCACCAAAGAGCCAGCAGUAUUGGCAUGUCCUGGGAGCUUGCCAGAAAUGCAGAGUUCCAGGCCCCCAGCCUUCCUGAAUACGAACCUCCCUUGAAAGGGGAUCCCCAGGGGGCUUCGUGAGCACAUCAAGCUCUGAGAAGCAGGCUCUAGUUCCAGCUGUGUCAGAGGUGUCCUUUUCUUCUGUGGAAUCCUCCCCAGUCUCCCCAGGAGAAUGGAUUGCCGCUAUGGCACACAGAUGACCAGCUUCGACCAGAGCCUGCAGCUGGACUCCUACUGUGUGCCAGACAUUUAAUCCUUUUAAGCCUCACAACAACUUCGUGCAACAGAAGGGAUGGCCCUUGUGUGAAGGAUGAGGGAACCGAGGCUUGGAGAAGUUACACGACGUGCCUAAGGCCCUUGUCUUUCGGAUGGCACCUUCACUUCAGACCGUCUGCCCCCAGGAGGCUUGACGAUCACUGAGAGCCACUGCUCAGAAAGGAAGAUCAUUCUUCAGGAGGUGGGAGACCUGGGAUCUAGAUGUCUCUCUACCAACCCACCUUUGACAAGCCCCUUCACCUUGCCGGGCCUCAGUUUCCCUGUUCUGUUUGGAGAACAACAGUGCCUGCCCCAUCCUGCCUCACAGAUUGCUACAAGGCUCAAUGCGGGGAAGGGCUUUGUGAAAUGCCAGCUCAGUCUGUUCCAGUUGAUUCUUACGUGAGUGAAUUCCGCAAUGACUGGGUACAGACUCUGCGCAAGUGUCACGCUAGGCUCUGGGGCCCAAAGAUGGCAGGACCUACUCUCUGCCCCCACAAGCUCACGGUCUAUUCAUGUUUCUAGAAGUGGACUUUGAUUCUGUACACUGUUCCUGCCCGUGAGGCAGAUAGUCUGCUGGCCGGUGGUGUUCUGGUGAUGGAGUUCUUUCCGUGCUAGCCUCCCUUCCUCCCCUGUGCUCUCCCCCUCCCCCACCACACUGCUUGCUCUGCAGGAAGGUGGAGCAGGAGGGCCCUCCACGCACCCUCUUAUCCGCGUGGCAGUUGAGGCCAGUGAAGCUCAGAGGACUGAAUGGCUCACCAGGACCCUGAGCAAGAUGACGGCUGCUGGGAGGCAGGUCUCCUGCCUGCUUUUUUUUCCCUUAACGUCUUACCAAGAUUUAAUGUACAUUUAUUCUUAACACAUGGGACAUACAGUAUAAAGAUUUCAUACUGAAUAAAUGAUAUUCAUUAAGCCAAAGAAGGAAAAAAAGGAGGAAUUUGCUUUGUUUGGGCCACAUUAUUUGAAAUACAAAUAUCCAGAUUUUAUCACUGAAGAAAUCUGAAUUGUGUUUCUUUAUCGGAGACUUCAACUGAACCGAGUUUUUCACACCUCAAUUAGAAAAAAGACACAACAACAGCAAAAAACCCCAGAAGAAAUAGACUAAGUUCUUUGGCUGCUGAGACAGUGAGGACUGUCCCACAUCGUGCCAAGUGAGGAGACAUCUGGCAUGAGAUUAAAUGGCUGUGUCUCACUUUGUGCAGGUCACCGACUUGCUAACUCAUGAUACUAUAAAAGGGUGGUUGGGAGGGGACCAAACUGCAGGGCCCCGGAGGGCGUGUGCAGCAAGGAUGUCAUAUGCACACACGGCAGAGUUCAUUUCUUUCCCACCAAUGAAUGGUGCAGCUGAGAGACCAGGGACCCCCAGAGCUGGAAAGGCCCAGAGUAGUCACUGUGUCAGUAAGGGCUGGGAGGAAUGGCUGGCCUGGCACUGGAAUUUCACCACCUGCUAGGGCUCAGGAUUAGUGAGGGAGGGCCUCUUGAGGAGGACCCUUCCAGCCUCUGUGUACCAAACUUGGAGGAUCCAGUGCCCGGAGAAUCCCUCUGUGUCAUCCGCGGCCCGUGCAGAUAAGAGCAGGACCAGUGUGCCUGGACUGGGCUUCCUGCCCUUCAUCAUGGAGAGAGACGGUCCUCGUCCCUGACCUUUCCCACGGACUGUCUCCUUGAGUUCUUCCACCGAGGUCACCAGCUGGAGACCUGAGGGUCUUAUGCGGGUUGCAGACAGGUUUCAUUUGAUUGGAAUUUUUUUCAGAAAUUGCAAUAGCUGCCAUCAUUGAAACACUGGAUAUUUUCACAUGAAAAAUCUGGCCCCACUGGGCUGGGUUACUGCAUGCCCACCAUCGCUGGAGCCAGUGAGUCCUUGCCACCCUUUAGCUAAAAGCAUGUUUUCCUUGGUCCCCACCUGGCCGGCCUCACUCAUUUUCAUUACCUGCUUGGCCCUGUGCCAUGUGCAUUUGUGACCCAUGCCCAAGUCUGACUUUAUUUUAUAGAUGAGGAAGCUGAAGACCUGGUUUAAAAGUCGUGGAAAUUGAAGCUUUGAGAGUAAAUUUCUCCCCCUUGAAAGCUGCUCCAUUGGGCCAACAGAAAACACUGAGCUGUUGGCCCUCACCACACCCCCACCAUGCAAUGUGCCCCCUCUCACCCCCCACAACCACUGCAUUUUCCAGAUUCAAGAUUUCAGGCAGGCUGGGGCAUAUUUCCCACCCAGGGUCUGGGGCGUAUUUUCUCCUUCAAGUGAUUACAAGCUUGACAUCUCUAGCAACCCGAGUCUUGAAGGCGGAGCUGCCUUUCCUGACAGCCCGGGGUGCUCAGACACCAGGUUUCCUCUGUUCCUCUUCCAUAUGCCCUGCUCUAGCCUUUGGUCUGGGUGCAGCUUGUCGACAUUAAAUAAGCGCUUCUGGCGGUUCGCCUGUAACAAUUCUUUAGAUCUUGGAAGCCAGGCUGUGGAGCUCUGCGUAUGUAUAGAUCUCAUUUUCACACAACAGGCUGCUUAGCAGAUGGAGACCCAGACCAGCCUCCAACGUUUAGCUGCAAGUUAAGACGUGGGAAAGUAGGUGGCUUUUAACCAGCCAGUACUGCUGCCAGCAUUCAACCUUAGAGAAUUUUCACAGGGAAAAGAAAAAAAAGCAAAAAACCAACAACAACAACACACACAAAACCAACAAAACCACAGUUUUCCUUGCUCCCCCAAACCAGA